rnacentral:rRNA from 1 species
CUCAGGAUGAACGCUAGCUACAGGCUUAACACAUGCAAGUCGAGGGGCAGCAUGACCUAGCAAUAGGUGAUGGCGACCGGCGCACGGGUGAGUAACACGUAUCCAACCUACCGGUUAUUCCGGGAUAGCCUUUCGAAAGAAAGAUUAAUACCGGAUAGUAUAGCGAGAAGGCAUCUUCUUGUUAUUAAAGAAUUUCGAUAACCGAUGGGGAUGCGUUCCAUUAGUUUGUUGGCGGGGUAACGGCCCACCAAGACAUCGAUGGAUAGGGGUUCUGAGAGGAAGGUCCCCCCACAUUGGAACUGAGACACGGUCCAAACUCCUACGGGAGGCAGCAGUGAGGAAUAUUGGUCAAUGGACGAGAGUCUGAACCAGCCAAGUAGCGUGAAGGAUGACUGCCCUAUGGGUUGUAAACUUCUUUUAUAUGGGAAUAAAGUGAGCCACGUGUGGCUUUUUGUAUGUACCAUACGAAUAAGGAUCGGCUAACUCCGUGCCAGCAGCGGC